UCUACGGGAGGCAGCAGUGAGGAAUAUUGGUCAAUGGGCGCGAGCCUGAACCAGCCAAGUAGCGUGAAGGAUGACUGCCCUAUGGGUUGUAAACUUCUUUUAUAUAGGAAUAAAGUGAUGCACGUGUGCGUUUUUGUAUGUACUUUAUGAAUAAGGAUCGGCUAACUCCGUGCCAGCAGCCGCGGUAAUACGGAGGAUACGAGCGUUAUCCGGAUUUAUUGGGGUUAAAGGGAGCGUAGAUGGGUUGUUAAGUCAGUUGUGAAAGUUUGCGGCUCAACCGUAAAAUUGCAAUUGAUACUGGCAGUCUUGAGUACAGUAGAGGUAGGCGGAAUGCGUGGUGUAGCGGUGAAAUGCUUAGAUAUCACGAAGAACUCCGAUUGCGAAGGCAGCUUACUAAACUGCCACUGACAUUGAUGCUCGAAAGUGUGGGUAUCAAACAGGAUUAGAUACCCGUGUAGUC
rnacentral:rRNA from 1 species